rnacentral:rRNA from 1 species
CAGUAGCCGCGGGAAUACGAAGGGUGCAAGCGUUAAUCGGAAUUACUGGGCGUAAAGCGCACGCAGGCGGUUUGUUAAGUCAGAUGUGAAAGCCCCCGGCUCAACCGGGGAGGGUCAUUGGAAACUGGGAAACUUGAGUGCAGAAGAGGAGAGUGGAAUUCCACGUGUAGCGGUGAAAUGCGUAGAGAUGUGGAGGAACACCAGUGGCGAAGGCGACUCUCUGGUCUGUAACUGACGCUGAGGAGCGAAAGCGUGGGGAGCGAACAGGAUUAGAUACCCGCGUAGUCCCUGUCUCUUAUAC